rnacentral:rRNA from 1 species
AACGCUGGCGGCGUGCUUAACACAUGCAAGUCGAACGGAAAGGCCCUGCUUUUGUGGGGUGCUCGAGUGGCGAACGGGUGAGUAACACGUGAGUAACCUGCCCUUGACUUUGGGAUAACUUCAGGAAACUGGGGCUAAUACCGGAUAGGAGCUCCUGCUGCAUGGUGGGGGUUGGAAAGUUUCGGCGGUUGGGGAUGGACUCGCGGCUUAUCAGCUUGUUGGUGGGGUAGUGGCUUACCAAGGCUUUGGCGGGUAGCCGGCCUGAGAGGGUGACCGGCCACAUUGGGACUGAGAUACGGCCCAGACUCCUACGGGAGGCAGCAGUGGGGAAUAUUGCACAAUGGGCGGAAGCCUGAUGCAGCAACGCCGCGUGCGGGAUGACGGCCUUCGGGUUGUAAACCGCUUUCGCCUGUGACGAAGCGUGAGUGACGGUAAUGGGUAAAGAAGCACCGGCUAACUACGUGCCAGCAGCCGCGGUGAUACGUAGGGUGCGAGCGUUGUCCGGAUUUAUUGGGCGUAAAGGGCUCGUAGGUGGUUGAUCGCGUCGGAAGUGUAAUCUUGGGGCUUAACCCUGAGCGUGCUUUCGAUACGGGUUGACUUGAGGAAGGUAGGGGAGAAUGGAAUUCCUGGUGGAGCGGUGGAAUGCGCAGAUAUCAGGAGGAACACCAGUGGCGAAGGCGGUUCUCUGGGCCUUUCCUGACGCUGAGGAGCGAAAGCGUGGGGAGCGAACAGGCUUAGAUACCCUGGUAGUCCACGCUGUAAACGGUGGGUACUAGGUGUGGGGUCCAUUCCACGGGUUCCGUGCCGUAGCUAACGCUUUAAGUACCCCGCCUGGGGAGUACGGCCGCAAGGCUAAAACUCAAAGGAAUUGACGGGGCCCCGCACAAGCGGCGGAGCAUGCGGAUUAAUUCGAUGCAACGCGUAGAACCUUACCUGGGUUUGACAUGGAUCGGGAGUGCUCAGAGAUGGGUGUGCCUCUUUUGGGGUCGGUUCACAGGUGGUGCAUGGCUGUCGUCAGCUCGUGUCGUGAGAUGUUGGGUUAAGUCCCGCAACGAGCGCAACCCUUGUUCACUGUUGCCAGCACGUUAUGGUGGGGACUCAGUGGAGACCGCCGGGGUCAACUCGGAGGAAGGUGGGGAUGACGUCAAGUCAUCAUGCCCCUUAUGUCCAGGGCUUCACGCAUGCUACAAUGGCUGGUACAGAGAGUGGCGAGCCUGUGAGGGUGAGCGAAUCUCGGAAAGCCGGUCUCAGUUCGGAUUGGGGUCUGCAACUCGACCUCAUGAAGUCGGAGUCGCUAGUAAUCGCAGAUCAGCAACGCUGCGGUGAAUACGUUCCCGGGGCUUGUACACACCGCCCGUCAAGUCAUGAAAGUUGGUAACACCCGAAGCCGGUGGCCUAACCGUUGUGGGGGAGCCGUCGAAGGUGGGACUGGU